rnacentral:rRNA from 2 species
CCUAUACAUGCAAGUCGAACGAACUCUGGUAUUGAUUGGUGCUUGCAUCAUGAUUUACAUUUGAGUGAGUGGCGAACUGGUGAGUAACACGUGGGAAACCUGCCCAGAAGCGGGGGAUAACACCUGGAAACAGAUGCUAAUACCGCAUAACAACUUGGACCGCAUGGUCCGAGUUUGAAAGAUGGCUUCGGCUAUCACUUUUGGAUGGUCCCGCGGCGUAUUAGCUAGAUGGUGAGGUAACGGCUCACCAUGGCAAUGAUACGUAGCCGACCUGAGAGGGUAAUCGGCCACAUUGGGACUGAGACACGGCCCAAACUCCUACGGGAGGCAGCAGUAGGGAAUCUUCCACAAUGGACGAAAGUCUGAUGGAGCAACGCCGCGUGAGUGAAGAAGGGUUUCGGCUCGUAAAACUCUGUUGUUAAAGAAGAACAUAUCUGAGAGUAACUGUUCAGGUAUUGACGGUAUUUAACCAGAAAGCCACGGCUAACUACGUGCCAGCAGCCGCGGUAAUACGUAGGUGGCAAGCGUUGUCCGGAUUUAUUGGGCGUAAAGCGAGCGCAGGCGGUUUUUUAAGUCUGAUGUGAAAGCCUUCGGCUCAACCGAAGAAGUGCAUCGGAAACUGGGAAACUUGAGUGCAGAAGAGGACAGUGGAACUCCAUGUGUAGCGGUGAAAUGCGUAGAUAUAUGGAAGAACACCAGUGGCGAAGGCGGCUGUCUGGUCUGUAACUGACGCUGAGGCUCGAAAGUAUGGGUAGCAAACAGGAUUAGAUACCCUGGUAGUCCAUACCGUAAACGAUGAAUGCUAAGUGUUGGAGGGUUUCCGCCCUUCAGUGCUGCAGCUAACGCAUUAAGCAUUCCGCCUGGGGAGUACGGCCGCAAGGCUGAAACUC